UACAGUAGUACUAGUGGUAUUAUGCUGCAGGAGAGGAAGGUACUGCAGGAGUACUAGUGGUAUUAUGCUGCAGGAGAUGAGGGUACUGCAGGAGUACUAGUGGUAUUAUGCUGCAGGAGAAGAGGGUACUGCAGUAGUACUAGUGGUAUUAUCCUGCAGGAGAUGAGGGUAGUACUAGUGGUAUUAUGCUGCAGGAGAGGAAGGUAUGCAGGACGUACUAGUGGUAUUAUGCUGCAGGAGAAGAGGGUACUGCAGUAGUACUAGUGGUAUUAUCCUGCAGGAGAUGAGGGUAGUACUAGUGGUAUUAUGCUGCAGGAGAGGAAGGUACUGCAGUAGUACUAGUGGUAUUACGAUGCACAAGAGGAAGGUACUGCAGUAGUACUAGUGGUAUUACGAUGCACGAGAGGAAGGUACUGCAGUAGUACUAGUAGUAUUGUGAUGCAGGAGAGGAGGGUGUUUUAGUAGUACUAGUGGUAUUACGAUGCACGAGAUGAGGGUACUGCAGUAGUACUAGUGGUAUUACGAUGCACGAGAGGAAGGUACUGCAGUAGUACUAGUGGUAUUACGAUGCACGAGAUGAGGGUACUGCAGUAGUACUAGUGGUAUUGUGAUGCAGGAGAGGAAGG
ensembl:lncRNA